UCCGUGCAAAUUUGAUAAAGAAGAAUGUUGCUAAAUCUAUUCAUCAAAGCCGUAAAUUUCUAAAUCAUUUAUUUGAUGAAGAAGAUAAAGUUUCCAAAAGUAAUGAGGAAGAUAAAGUUUCCAUAACUAGUAAGGAAGAUAAAGUUUUCAGAUAUGACGAGGAAGACAAAAUUUCAAAUAAUGAAGAGAAAAAAAAAGUUUUAAAAAAUGAGGAGAAAGAGAAGGUUUUUAAAAGUGACAAGGAAGAUAAAGUUUUCAAAAAUGAUAAUAAAAAUACAAUUACAAAUUAAAAAUAAUGAAAAAAAAUGAAGUUUACCAAUGUGACGAAGAAGAUAAACUUUCUUUAAUAUUUCCCCUGUAUUAAUAGCAUGGAAAAAUUUAUAUCUUAAUUGUAUAAAUAAAAGGGUGAAAGUAGACAUUAUACUUAUAACUUGCCAUAUAUAUACAUCAAAAAUUGAGUUAUAUAUAGUUCAUAUCAAUAUUUGGGUAAUGAUACAUUGCUAUCAGAUGUCAAACAUUACAAACUUACACCUUCAAUACUUCUUUGAAGAAGACAAAUUAAAUUAAAUCAAUCCAAUUGUCGAAUAAUCUUGAAUUAUGUUGAUGAUCUUAUAUACAAAACUUCAAACAAUUUAGAAACUCGUUGGUAAAAGUUUUAGUAAUAGAUAUUGUAACAUUCUGAUUUAAUUCAAACUAUUAUUAACGAAAUUACAAACAUGAAAAAUGUGGAUUAUUAUUAUUAUUUAAAACAAGGCUAAAAUAAAAUAAUUAUUUGAUCUAAACCAAAUAAUAAAUUUUCUUUUAUUGACUUCCACAAUAAAAACAUAGUUAUUACGAUUACAAACAAACAAGUAGUUGUGUAAAUAAAAGAACGAAAUCCUAAAGUCAAGACUCUUGGGUUUUUUCUACCCAAGAGAAAACCUAGUUGGUCACAAUUUUGAAUGUUUGUGAAGAAUUCUCAAGGCUAACACCAGUGUUAAAAAGAAAAAUCAGAGCCUCCAUUUACACUAUUGUUUUACAAUUUUAAUAAUUUCCACAUAAUUUAUAUCUUUUUUUUUUUAUUCAGAUAACUUAUAUACUUUCAUAAAAAUAGACUUUGUGAUUAUCAAAUAUAUAAAUUUUCACUUAAAUCAAAGUUAAUAUUAUAGACCCGGAACAGUUGUAAAAUGGUGAUUAGUUCUACUUUGAUUAGUAAUAAUUUUUUCAUCUCUAAAAAAAUUGUUAAGUUUUUAUGAUUUAAUUUUGGCAAAACAUUGUUUUUAUCAUAUUAUUUCAAGAGUAAAAAUUCUUAUUUAAUUAAAAACUCUAUAAUUUUUUUCAAUAUGAUGUAUUCUUCUUAUAACCUUACCUAUUUACAAAAUUAAUACAUUAAUAAAUUAUUUAUAUCGUAUUCAAAAAAAUUUAAACCCCAUGCAAAACAUGGGUAAUAGUCUAAUAAUAUAUUAAAAUAGACUCCUAAAUACUAUUGUAACACAUCAUCUAAUAUUGUGUCAUUUCAUUCAAUUAUUGUCACCACAACAAAAAUCUGAUGUGCCAUAUGUAAUAUUAUAUAUAACUAAUCAUGUGCCAUGAGUUAUAAAUUUAGGAACAAUCAAUAUUAGUUAAUUGACACUCAUUGCUGCUCCAUCAUUAUUGGUAAUAAUUUUUCUAUGGUUUUAACUCCAAUUAAUAUAUUGGUCCUAUAAAUGCUUAAAUAUAUAAAUGACAACAAUUUGUGGAAGUUAUUUUGUAUCAUAUAUUGCAUAUGUUUAUUUGGAAAUUGGAAGACAAUGACACAUAAACUUUGGUCUCUAUGCAACUUUUCUAUUUAUAAGUUGUUUAGAUUGAUUGAGGACAAUUUUGUAAUUUCUUUCAUCUAAUUUGUUAUUCUUUUUAUAUUUAUUUUACGUGCUUUUUAUAAUUUAUGUUUAUAUAUUUGAGUUUUAAUUCUGACUAUAAUAUGUUACGAUAUCUUUAUGAUCAAUUAUUGUGUAUACAUUUGGUGCAAAUAUUUUUGAACAAAUUGUGCUUGUAUUUUAUUAUGAAUUAUGUUAAGUGUUGUAACACCCCAAAUUUUAUAAUAAAUAUUUUCAUAAUGAAAUAGAACUUUGGAUAAUUAAUUUGGUGUUAAAACUAUUUUAGAAUAUAUGUGUAUAAAUCUUGUGACUAACUUUCAUUAUAUGGGAGCUUUCUAUGAUACACUAAUUUUGUAUAUAUUUGAAUAAAUAAGUGAUAUAAAUAACAAAUAUAAUAUUUUAUAAUUUUAUAUAUUUUUUCUAUAAAUAAUAGUAUUUUAGUGUAAAUAUUUUAAAGAAUAAGAUUUUAGGCGACUCUACAUGUAUAUGUGUGUUCGCAGUUAAUGUGAUAUUUUCUUGUGUGUUUGACUGAUGUUAAGUGUGCACAUAUUUAAUUAUUUAAAAACAUAUGUUAUUUUAAUUAUUUAUUUUACAAAUAAUUAUCUUGAUAUAUUAGUAAUUUUAAUAUUUAUUUUAUUUAUUUUUAUAUAGUUGCACAUAUUUAUUUUUAUUUAUUUUAUCAUUUUGACUAUUCUAUAAAGAUGAUGUUUUUUUAUGUGAUUAUUUUGAAAGAUGUUAUAGUAGUAAUUAUAGUUAUUAUUUUGAAUAUGAGAAUUUUGGUUAAAAUUCGAUUUAUUAUUUUAAGGAUAGAUAAUAUUAUGUUAAAAUGAGUAUUUUGGAGAAACAUUUCUAGAAAAGUAAAAUAAACUAUUUAUUUAUUGUGUGCUUUUAGAAAUACUAGAAAAAUGAAUUUUGGAUAAAACGACUGUUUACACCCCUAUUUUCUACUUAUGCAUAUUAAUUUAGGCUAUUACUUGUUGGACUUUUUCUUUCCUACACCUGCGAAAUUGCUCAUUACACCUCUAUUCCUGCAAAAGACACAUACUAGACUCUCCUGCGUUGGGUCUUACAACUUGUUUUACUCAUGUAAAAUUUAUCAUGUACCCCCAAAAAAAAAUUUAAAAUGUCAAAAAUACCCUCAAUUAUUUUUUUACGAUUUCACACAAUCUAAGGUAAAUUUUUUUCACCCUUUUUUUAUUUCCGGAGUCGUAAAAAAGUUUUCAGGUAGGUUCCAUUUUUCUGGUAACUAUCGGAAUACUUGUAAUAAGAUUUCCGGUACAUAAGGUAUAUUCCGCAAAACAUAAAACGAAGUUUUCCGGUAUAAAAGGAAAAAGUUGUGUACCGGAAAACUUAAUUGACAAGUUAUCCGGUACAGAAUUGGCUUCCGGAAAACUUCAUAUACAAGUUUUUCGGUACAUAACAAUUUUUUAAAAUUUAUUUUUAAGUUUUUUGAAUUACAUUAAUUUAUUUUAAAUGUUAAUGGAUAUGGAUAAACUAUUACUAUUAAUGGAUAAAACAUGCGUCGAUACUACAAAUAUUUUUGACACAUAUCAGGUAUGAAUAAAAAUAAUUAAUAAUGUAAAAAUAUAUUAUUGUUAUUAAUUAUAAUUUAUUUUAUUUCAGAUAUUUGAUACAAGGGAUGCUGAUGUGAAUUGGGCAAAAGAAAUCGGUAUAAAAAAUAAUGUUAUUGUUAUUAUCAGAAGAUCAGAUAUAGAGACGGGAGAGAGAGGAAGGAAAAAUAAAUUACUAUUAAUUUGUGACAAAGGGAGAAAAUACAAGUGUGCUGCUAGUUCAACUCGAAGUUCAACAAAAAAGUGUGAUUGUCCUUUCAAGCUUAGAUCAAAACCGUUAAAAGAUGGUUCAGGAUGGAUAGUUAAAGUAAUUUGUGGAAUUCACAGCCAUGAAUUACUUGAUACUUUGGAGGGGAAUGCAUAUGUUGGACGCUUAAAUGAAGAAGAAAGAAAGCAUGUUCAUGACUUAACAAAAUAUAAUGGAGCAUCGAGACACAUAUUACUCUCAUUGAAAGACCGAGAUAAGAGUAAUGUUACUAAAAUAUCACAAAUAUAUAAAUAGAGGAGUAUGAUUCGAUUGAACGUGAGAGGUAAUAGAACAAAGAUGCAACAUUUAUUCACGUUAAUUGAAGAUGAAAACUAUAUGUGUCGGAAUAGAAAGUGUGAAGACACUAAUGUUAUAAAAGAUAUUUUUUUGGGUGCAUCCUGAUUCAGUGAAGACUUUGAUGUUAUGAGAGAUAUUCUUUACUCUUACACGGUAAAGUUCUAAAUCAAGAGACCGAGCUCUGAUACCAAUUGAAGUAGUUGGAAAAUACAAGACACAUGAGUUUGAAUUGUGUUUGCCAUUUUUGAAGGCUAUUUAGACUUCCUUACACAAAUUGUUCUUUAUCAAAACAUGCAACUUACUUUUAUAAAAAAAAGGUUUAGAAAGAGUAAGGUUGAAUAAUAAAUAAAUAAAUAAGAUGCGAAAAAUAGAAGAAGAUAAAAGAGACAUAUUUUUAUAAUAGUUCACAACAAAUUGUUCCUAUAUCUAGCACUCCCUAUACAAAGAGAUUUUACUUUAGCACAGUCGAUGACUUAAUCCAAUAUUUCCAUAAAUAGCAAAAAAGUAUUCUUUACUCUGCCUUUUUAGGCUUUUAGUAUUUUUCUCUAGCCUCUCCAGGUUGUCUUCAUCAAAACCUUCUUCAACUUUCUGGCAUCUUGCCAUUAAGAUUCAUGAGAGUCGUGGUACCUUUUCACGUACCUCUUAGGGGUGAGAAGGUUGUUGUCUGAUUUGACACAAAGUUUGUUUUUCGAAUUCUAACUCUCAUUGAGAGGGUGUUAUAGAUCAACUCCUCUAUCAAUAGAAGUGUGAGAGAACAAGAUAUAUGAACAAGUAGUAGAUUCUAGAUGUUGAUCAGAUGAUGCACAAUUGCUUCGUCUUCUUUAGAAAGUUGAAUUUCAUCAUAGCGUUUACAUCUUUUAUAUCAUUGAUUUCCUUCAGUGCAUACGACAUAAGUUAGAGUUAUAUGAUCAGAUACUUGAAAUGAUUAUCAGUGGCAGAGAAUCACUCGCUUGUCAAGCUUAUUAGAGGCAAUUGAUUACUUGCUUUAUCAAUCGUAUCAGAGGUAGACGAGCUGAGAAUAGCUGAAACAUAAUGUAUCACGUAUUUAUAGAGUCAGUAGAACUAAAACAUUUCUUGCGUUAUAAGAGUAAGUCAAAACACAACAAUGCUUUGCAUUGUUGGAAGCGUGUGUUACAACACUUGCGUCAAAAUCAAACAAAUGGAAUGAAGUAGAGUCUUGUUGUUCCUCUGUCUUCGUACAAUCACCAGAGGAUAUAACUUAAAUCAAGGUAACAUUUGACUUUGAACUAAUACUUGCAAUAUUAUGUCUUCCUCCAAUAGUAGACAUAGUUACUUGUAUAUUAGGAUAUAAUAUAUUCCUUAGAACUUAUGCUACUCUAAUAUGAAUAGUCAUUAAUAUAACUCUUUGUGUUUUAACUUAAUAUUCACACUUUGCAAAUACAGAUACGAGAUGAUUAUUCUUUAUUUGUUUGUUUUUGUUAUCUUAAAACAUCUACCAGAGGAUUGUAGCGAAAUCCCAUUUUGCACUAACACACCCUAUUAAAGUUUCUAACUCAUAGUUUAAGCUCACCAAAUUUUAAGUGUUCUCGUUAGUCAAUUAUUAUACAAAGGGCUUCACUCACAUCUAACAAGUCUUAAGAUGAUUUGUGGGAAAUACGAUUUUUACGUUUGAUUGACAUUAUUUUACACUCAUGAAAUCAAGCGGAGCAUAAAAUUAAAGUUACAUAAUUAACUAAAAAUUUAGGAAUAAAAACGAAGAUAAAAACGACACCAAAUUGAUAGUUAGAUAAAGUAUCACCGAUGCGUCGAAGCACAGACAAGAUCCGACGUCAACUUUAUCGAAAUAUGUGAAUCAGUAGAGCUUCUUGAAAGUUUCGACGAGAGGAAUCCAAAAACGAUAUCAUUUUUUUCCAAUGAUGAAUACGGAGGUCGAAAAAGGAAAAUAUAGUUCGUCCAAAUAAGAAAAUGUGAUUGUUUCUUAAAAGAGAAUAUGAGUAGAGUUUCUUCAAAGUUUCAACGAGAAGAAUUAAAAAACGAUGUCCAUUUUUUUCAAUGAUCAACACAGAGGCCGAAAAAGCAAAAUACAGUCCGUCCAUUUUUACAAAGAUUAUUUUUAAGACAAUAAAAGAGAAUAUGCAUACUGAUACUAUAUUAUAUUAUUAUUACCCAAGGACAAGAAAACUUGCUUGAUUGGAGAAAUUUUUUUUGGUUCUUUUUUAUUCCUAAAUGAAAUUCAAGUCCCCAUCUUUUUGUUUCUUUAACAAAAAAUUAAACUUAAUUGAAAAAAAAAUCAUAGCUGAAUUAAAAAAUUUAAUUUGAACGGACACUAUCUAAAUAAGUGUUACGUUUUAAAUCGUAAUUUCUAUAUCAAUAUUUACAUGUCCUUUCGAAGUUGCUUUUGCCAAAAGGUUUGCCUGAAUUUAAUUUGAAAUUUGACUCUUGGCCCAAAAAAAGGACAUCUUCUUUCCAUAUAUAUAUAGAGAAUACUACUUUAUUAUUUAGCAAUAUUGCGUUGUUGUAAUACUCCAAGAAGUGACAUGGGUUACUCAAAACAUGCAACUUACUUUUAUAAAAACCGAUUAGGCAGAGGAAGGUUGAAUAAUAAAAAAAUAAAUCAAUAAGAUGCGAAAAAUAGAAGAAGAUAAAGGAGACGUAUAUUUUUAUAAUAGUUCACAAAAAAUUGAUCCUAUUUCUAUUUCUCCCUUACAAAAAGAAUUUACCUCAGUAAAGUCGAGGACUUAAUCCACUAUUUCCAUAUAUAGCAUAAAGGUAUUCUUCACUCUGCCUUUUUAGGCGUUUAGUAUUUUUCUCUAGCCUCUCCAAAUUGUCUUCAUCAAAACCUUCUUCAACUUAUGGCAUCUUGCCAUUGAGGUUCACGAGAGUCGUGGUACCUUUUCACGUACCUCUUAGGGGUGAGAAGGUUGUUGCCACUAUCGGGCUAAUUUACAUCAGUUUUAGUUUGUGUCUGAUUUGACACAUAGUUUGUUUUUCGGAUUCUUACUCUCAUUGAGAGUAUGUUAUAGAUCAAGUCUUAUAUCAGUACAAGUGUGAGAGAACUAGAUAUAUGAACAAGUAGUAGAUUUAAGAUGUUGAUCAAAGGAAACACAAUUGCUUCGUCUUCUUUGGAAUGUUGAAUUUCAUCAUAGCGUUUACUUCUUUUAUAUCAUUGAUUUCCAUCAGUACAGAGAAUCACUCGUUUGUCAAGCUUAUUAAAGGCAAUUGAUUACUUGCUUUAUUAAUCGUAUCAGAGGUAGACGAGCUAAGAAUAACUGAAACAUAAUGUAUCAUGUAUUUCUAGAGUCACUAGAACUAGAACAUUGCUUGCGUUAUAAGAGUCAGUCAAAACACAACAUUGCUUUGCAUCGCUGGAAGCGUGUGUUACAACACUUGCGUCAAAAUCAAACAAAUUUAAUGAAGUAGAGUCUUGUUGUUCCUUUGUCUUCAUACAAUCACCAGAGGAUAUAACUUAAAUCAAGGUAACAUUUGACUUUGAACUAAUACUUGCAAUAUUACGUCUUCCUCAUAUAGUAGACAUAGUUACUUGUAUAUUAGGAUAUAAUAUUCUUUGUCUAUAAGAAACAUUUAGAUUAUUGUCUCUAUUUUACUUGGAACUUAUGCUACUCUAAUAUGAAUAGUCAUUAAUAUAACUCUUUGUGUUCUAACUUAAUAUGCACACUUUGCAAAUACAGAUACGAGAUGAUUAUUCUUUAUUUAUUUGUUUUUGUUAUCUUAAAACAUCUACCAGAGAAUUGUAGCGAAAUCCCAUUUUGCACUAACACACCCUAUUAAAGUUUCUAACUCAUAGUUUAGCUCACUAAAUUUUAAGUGUUCUCGUUAGUCAAUUAUUAUACAAAGGGCUUCACUCACAUCUAACAAGUCUUAAGAUGAUUUGUGGGAAAUACGAUUUUUACGUUUGAUUGACAUUAUUUUACACUCAUGAAAUCAAGCGGAGCAUAAAAUAAAAGUUACAUAAUUAACUAAAAAUUUAGGAAUAAAAACGAAGAUAAAAACGACACCAAAUCGAUAGUUAGAUAAAGUAUCACCGACGCGUCGAAGCACUGACAAGAUUCGACGUCAACUUUAUCUAAAUGUGUGAAUAAGUAGAGCUUCUUGAAAGUUUCGACGAGAGGAAUCCAAAAAUGAUAUCCUUUUUUUCCAAUGGUGAAUACAGAGGCCGACAAAGGAUAAUACAGUCCGUCCAAAUAAGAAAAUGUGACUGUUUCUUAAAAGAGAAUAUGAGUAGAGCUUCUUCAAAGUUUCAACGAGAAGAAUCAACAAACGAUGUCCAUUUUUUUCAAUGAUCAACACGGAGGCCAAAAAAGGAUAAUACAGUCCGUCCAUUUUUACAAAGAUAAUUUUUAAGACAAUAAAAGAGAAUAUGCAUACCGAAACUAUAUUAUAUUAUUUUUACCCAAGGACAAGAAAACUUGCUUGAUUGGAGAAAUUUUUUUUUGGUUUUUUUUUUAUUCCUAAAUUCAAUUCAAGUCCCCAUCUUUUUGUUUCUUUAACAAAAAAUUUAACUUAAUUGAAAAAAAAAUCAUAGCUGAAUUAAAAAAUUAAAUUUGAACGGACACUAUCUUAAAUAAGUGUUACGUUUUAAAUCGUAAUUUCUAUAUCAAUAUUUACAUGUCCUUUUGAAGGUGCUUUUGCCAAAAGGUUUGCCUUAAUUUAAUUUGAAAUUUGACUCUUGGCACAAAAUAAGGACAUCUUAAUUCCAUAUAUAUAUAGAGAAUACUACUUUAUUAUUUAGCAAUAUUGCAUUGUUGUAAUACUCCAAGAAGUGACAUGGGUUACCCCAAACAUGCAACUUACUUUUAUAAAAACGGAUUAGGCAGAAUAAGUUUGAAUAAUAAAUAAAUAAAUAAGAUGCGAAAAAUAGAAGAAGAUAAAUGAGACGUAUAUUUUUAUAAUAGUUCACAACAAAUUGUUCCUAUUUCUAGUUCCCUUUACAAAGAGAUUUUACUUCAGUAAAGUCGGGGACUUAAUCCACUAUUUCCAUAUAUAGCAUAAAAGUAUUAUUUACUCUACCUUUUUAGGCUUUUAGUAUUUUUCUCUAGCCUCUCCAGGUUGUCUUAAUCAAAAUCUUCUUCAACUUUAUGGCAUCUUGCGAUUGAGGUUCACGAGAGUCGUGGUACCUUUUCACGUACCUCUUAGGGGUGAGAAGGUUUUUGCCACUAUCGGGCUAAUUUACAUCAGUUUUAGUUUGUGUCUGAUUUGACACAAAGUUUGUUUUUCGGAUUCUAACUCUCAUUGAGAGUAUGUUAUAGAUCAAGUCCUAUAUUAUUACAAGUGUGAGAGAACUAGAUAUAUGAACAAGUAGUAGAUUCAAGAUGUUGAUCAAAGGAAAAACAAUUGCUUCGUCUUCUUUGGAAUGUUGAAUUUCAUCAUAGCAUUUACUUCUUUUAUAUCAUUGAUUUCCUUCAGUGCAGAGAAUCACUCGUUUGUCAAGCUUAUUAAAGGCAAUUGAUUACUUGCUUUAUCAAUCGUAUUAGAGGUAGACGAGCUGAGAUUAACUGAAACAUAAUGUAUCAUGUAUUUUUAGAGUCACUAGAACUAGAACAUUGCUUGUGUUAUAAGAGUCAGUCAAAACGCAACAUUGCUUUGCGUCGAUGGAAGCGUGUGUUACAACACUUUGGUCAAAAUCAAACAAAUUGAAUGAAGUAGAGUCUUGUUAUUCCUCUGUCUUCGUCCAAUCACCAGAGGAUAUAACUUAAAUCAAGGUAACAUUUGAGUUUGAACUAAUACUUGCAAUAUUAUGUCUUCCUCCAAUAGUAGACAUAGUUACUUGUAUAUUAGGAUAUAAUAGUCUGUAUAUAAGAAACACUUAGAUUAUUGUCUCUAUUUUACUUGGAACUUAUGUUACUCUAAGAUGAAUAGUCAUUAAUAUAACUCUUUGUGUUCUAACUUAAUAUGCACACUUUGCAAAUACAGAUGCAUGACGAUUAUUCUUUAUUUGUUUGUUUUUGUUAUCUUAAAACAUCUACCAGAGGAUUGUAGCAAAAACCCAUUUUGGACUAACACACCCUAUAAAAGUUUCUAACUCAUAUUUUAAACUCACUAAAUUUUAAGUGUUCUCGUUAGUCGAUUAUUAUACAAAGGACUUCAGUCACAUGUAGUAAGUCUUAAGAUGAUUUGUGGGAAAUACGAUGUUUACGUUCCAUUGACUUAUUUUACACUCAUGAAUUCAAACUCAAGCUCACAUCAUACAUUAAUUGACACUUUAGUAAAAUAUGUGAAUCACCAAAAGUUCCACACCAACGCCAGCCCUACAACGUGCAAUAGAUGUGUCUGAAUGUGUCUGAAAUCAACGAAGAAUUCAUAGGAUCACCAAAAUACGACUGGAAAAACAAGCAGAGCAUAAAAUCAAAGUUACAUAAUUAACUAAAAAUUAAGGAGUAAGAACGAAGAUAAAAACGGCACCAAACAGAUAGUUAGAUAAAGUAUCACUGACGCGCCGAGGCACAUACAAGAUCUGACGUCAACUUUAUCGAAUUAUGCGAAUCAGUAGAGCUUCUUGAAAGUUUCGACGAGAGGAAUCCAAAAACGAUAUCAUUUUUUUUCCAAUGAUGAAUACGGAGGUCGAAAAAGGAAAAUAUAGUCCGUCUAAAUAAGAAAAUGUGAUUGUCUCUUAAAAGAGAAUAUGAGUAGAGCUUCUUCAAAGUUUCAACGAGAAGAAUCAAAAAACGCUGUCCAUUUUUUUCAAUGAUCAACACGAAGGCCAAAAAAGAAAAUUAAGUCCGUCCAUUUUUACAAAGAUUAUUUUUUAGACAAUAAAAGAGAAUAUGCAACCGAAACUAUAUUAUAUUAUUUUUACCCAAGAACAAGAAAACUUGCUUGAUUGGAGAAAUUUUUUUUUUUUUGGUGUUUUUUUUAUUCCUAAAUUAAAUUUAAGUCCCCAUCUUUUUGUUUCUUUAAUAAAAUUUUAACUUAAUUAAUAACAAAAACAAAAAAAUUCAUAGCUAAAUUAAAAAAUUAAAUUUGAACGGACACUAUCUAAAUAAGUGUUACGUUUUAAAUCGUAAUUUCUAUAUCAAUAUUUACAUGUCCUUUUGAAGUUGCUUUUGCCAAAAGGUUUGCCUUAAUUUAAUUUGAAAUUUGACUCAUGGCCCAAAAAAAGGACAUCUUCCUUCCAUAUAUAUAGAGAAUACUACUUUAUUAUUUAGCAACAUUGCAUUGUAAUCCUCCAAGAAGUGACAUGGCUUACUCAAAUUCAUACGUGUUUCUUGGUUUGGGACUUUUUAUUAUUCUCUCUUCUCAAGUUCUAGCUCAAGUUCCUCUUCUUCUUCCUCCUCCACCUCCACCUCCUCCUCCUACAAUUAUUUGUAAGUCAUGCUAGACUAUAAUGUAUUUUUCUACGCAAAUGCACAUGUUUAAAAAAAUAUGAUUCAAUAUAUGUAUAAAUAUAACACACAUUCUAAUGAAACAUAUUAAAAUGAAAUUAAUAUAGUACUUAAGUUCUAGUUCAAUGGGUAAAUGGAAAUAAUGUUAGGUUAAACAUUUUGUCUUAGAUUUUAACCUAAGACUUCAGAGUUGCGUGUGUUAAUUAUGAUGGAAUUUACCAUUUCUUCUAAAAUAAAAUAAAAAUGAUAUUAUUAUAAAACUAGGACCCUCAAAUUAAACUUAUUAAAAUAAUAUUAAUAUUAAACUUAUAACUUUAUAAUUAUUUGGUUUCAAUUUUAGAUCCUGAAAUUGUAUUAUAUUUUAUUUUAACUCUUAUAAGUUUUUUUUUAUUUGAAUUAAGUCCUUGCAAAUAUAAAAAAUGUCGUUUUAAAUUCUUAAGUUAGUUUAUGGGAUCACAUGGUGCGACAUUAUAGGAUCACAUUUGAUCUCAAGGACUAAAUAUAAACUUUUUAAAAUUUGCUGAGAUUAAAAUCAAACAAAAACACUUAGAAUGACUAAAACCAAAAAAUAAUAUAACUGCAUGAACUAAAAUCAUAUUCAGACCUCAAACUUUUAUUAAGGUAUACGAUUUUUUAAGAAGUCAGAAAAUCAUACUUAUAAGGUUUAUAUAUAAAUUUUUAUUUCACUUUUACAUUUCUUGAUAUAAUGCAUUCUCCAAUAGAUAUUUUAAACACAAUAUGGAAACCCCAAUGACAACUGUGCAUAGUUAUGCUGGCCUGAUGCAUGAAGUGACACUUCUAGAAGCUGAAGCUGAUCGGAUGACUUUCCGUGCAAAUUUGAUAAAGAAGAAUGUUGCUAAAUCUAUUCAUCAAAGCCGUAAAUUUCUAAAUCAUUUAUUUGAUGAAGAAGAUAAAGUUUCCAAAAGUAAUGAGGAAGAUAAAGUUUCCAUAACUGAUAAGGAAGAUAAAGUUUCCAGAAAUGACAAGGAAGACAAAAUUUCAAAUAAUGAAGAGAAAAACAAAGUUUUAAAAAAUAAGGAGAAAGAGAAGGUUUUUAAAAGUGACAAGGAAGAUAAAGUUUUCAAAAAUGAUAAUAAAAAUACAAUUACAAAUUAAAAAUAAUGAAAAAAAAAUGAAGUUUACAAAUGUGACGAAGAAGAUAAACUUUCUUUAAUAUUUCCCAUGUAUUAAUAGCAUGCAAGAAUGUAUAUAUUAACUGUAUAAAUAAAAGGGUGAAAGUAGACAUUAUACUUAUAACUUGCCAUAUAUAUACAUCAAAACAUGAGUUAUAUAUAGUUCAUAUCAAUAUUUGGGUAAUGAUAUAUUGAUAUCAGAUGUCAAACAUUACAAACUUACACCUUUAAUACUUUGAAGAAGAUGAAUUAAAUUAUAUCAAUCC
rnacentral:lncRNA from 1 species